AACGAACGCUGGCGGCAGGCCUCAAACAUGCAAGUCUAGGGGGUGUAGCAAUACAUCACCGGCGGACGGGUGCGUAACACGUGGGAAUAUACCUUUCGGUACGGAAUAACUGCGGGAAACUGCAACUAAUACCGUAUACGUCCUAGCGGAGAAAGAUUUAUCGCCGAAGGAUUAGCCCGCGUUCGAUUAGCUUGUUGGUGAGGUAACGGCUCACCAAGGCGACGAUCGAUAGCUGUUCUGAGAGGAAGAUCAGCCACACUGGGACUGAGACACGGCCCAGACUCCUACGGGAGGCAGCAGUUGGGAAUCUUGGACAAUGGGGGAAACCCUGAUCCAGCCAUGCCGCGUGAGUGAUGAAGGCCUUCGGGUUGUAAAACUCUUUCGACGGGACGAUAAUGACGGUACCCGUAGAAGAAGCUCCGGCUAACUUCGUG
rnacentral:rRNA from 1 species